rnacentral:snRNA from 1 species
AUCGUGAUUUGGCCUUUUGGCUAAGAUUAAGUGUAGUGUCUGUUCUUAUCAGUUUAAUAUCUGAUACAUCCUCUAUCUGAGAACAAUAUAUUAAAUGGAUUUUUGGAAUUAAGAGAUAGAAUAGGAGCUUGUUCCAUCCACUCCAUGCAUCGACCUGGUAUUGCAGUAUCUCCAGGAAUGGUGCACACACA